rnacentral:misc_RNA from 1 species
GAUGAAGAACGCAGUGAAAUGCGAUAAGUAAUGUGAAUUGCAGAAUUCAGUGAAUCAUCGAAUCUUUGAACGCAUCUUGCGCUCCUUGGUAUUCUGAGGAGCAUGCCUGUUUGAGUGUCAUUAAAUUCUCAACUACACUGACUUUGAAUUGGUGUGGCUUGGAUUUGGGGGGAAAAUUGUUGUGGGCUUUUUGUAUAGUCUGCUCCCCUGAAAUUGAUUAGCGGUACCUUUGUGGAACUGUCUACAGGUGUGAUAAUUAUCUACAUCUUAGACAUCUGCUGGAAUGCUGCUCUCUAAACCUUACUUGUAUUGACAAUCUUGACCUCAAAUCAGGUAGGACUACCCGCUGAACUUAAGCAUAUCAAUAAGCGGAGGA